AAUACGUAAUACGAAAAAACAAAGGUAUUGGUCAUUGUCAACAUAAAUUGUGAUUUACGUAUUGCUGCUACGGAUUAACGUGCUUACAUGAAGUAAUAAAUGCAAUCAAAGACCCAAAAUACAGUUAGAAUUUACUGAGGUCGUAGUGAAUAUCAGGACAGAAACUUAUACAGUGGUAAAGAUGUAGAAGAUGGAUGACCAAAACAGAGAGAGAAUUCUAGGACAGAAAAGAUGUAGAUGUUGGAUAACCAUCCUGGAACAGAACCGUAGGACAAGAAAGAUGUAGAUGAUGGGUGACCAAGCUGGGACAGAAUGCCAAGACAGGAAAGAUGUAGAAAUGAGUGGACCAGGAAGCAAAGAAUCAUUACACCAAGGUGUGCUCGGUUGUCUUGGACACUCCUAAUGUCCCCUGUGACAGGUCAGCCAGCAGCGACAAAGUCAUUAGUAUCGGGGUGGACACCCACCUUCCAGGCAACGAGAACAGCAGCUCAUCAUCGACGAUGUUUUCUUUUUCUAUUGUGGUGGGCAUCCGCAUACUAUAAGCGCAGCCAAUACACUAGCAGCACCACGUGUCGACGUCACGGGCACAGAGAAGACAUCACCUAUUGGCUGGAGACGCUGUGGCUCUGCUGUUACCACAACAGAAACAUUACAUCAUUGUGAGGCUACAUCAGUACAGUCAGAAAUGUUUACCUGGCAUUUAAAACUGAUUUUUGUUUACAAUAAACAAAUUAUUUGAGCAA
rnacentral:lncRNA from 1 species